GAUGAACGCUGGCGGCGUGCCUAAUACAUGCAAGUCGAGCGAACAGACGAGGAGCUUGCUCCUCUGACGUUAGCGGCGGACGGGUGAGUAACACGUGGAUAACCUACCUAUAAGACUGGGAUAACUUCGGGAAACCGGAGCUAAUACCGGAUAAUAUAUUGAACCGCAUGGUUCAAUAGUGAAAGACGGUUUUGCUGUCACUUAUAGAUGGAUCCGCGCCGCAUUAGCUAGUUGGUAAGGUAACGGCUUACCAAGGCAACGAUGCGUAGCCGACCUGAGAGGGUGUUCGCCCACACUGGAACUGAGACACGGCCCAGACUCCUACGGGAGGCAGCAGUAGGGAAUCUUCCGCAAUGGGCGAAAGCCUGACGGAGCAACGCCGCGUGAGUGAUGAAGGUCUUCGGAUCGUAAAACUCUGUUAUUAGGGAAGAACAAAUGUGUAAGUAACUAUGCACGUCUUGACGGUACCUAAUCAGAAAGCCACGGCUAACUACGUG
rnacentral:rRNA from 1 species